rnacentral:lncRNA from 1 species
AGCAAGUCUUGGUAUUGGAGAUAUUAUUCCACCUCCUUACAGCCUUUCUCUGCUUCGUGGAGAAAUCUGUACAGGACCUGCUGGCUGAGAAGGCCUUUAAUCUCAUCUCUGGAGUCUAGUUAGCAACAUCAGUGCUUGGCAAACUCUGAGAUCUUGAUAGAGGGAGGAAUGGGAUAAUGGAUACCUGCCUCUACAAUCAAGCUUUUAGGUCAGUUCUAGGAAUUGAACUACAAACAACAGUAACAACAGACACCACUCGUGAGGAAACAAACCAGAAUAAGGACAGACAGACAGAAAUAUGGAAGGAAAGAAAAACAUUGACAGAACACAAGAAACACACACAUACAAACAAAAUCCACAAAAACACGGAAUCAGAAGAUAUAAUAUGCAAGAAAAAGACAACUAAGAUAAAAGGUGCCCUAACAAAGCAAUAUGGAACGAACAAACAAACAAACAACAAA